rnacentral:rRNA from 1 species
AUUGAACGCUGGCGGCAGGCCUAACACAUGCAAGUCGAACGGUAACAGGAAGCAGCUUGCUGCUUCGCUGACGAGUGGCGGACGGGUGAGUAAUGUCUGGGAAGCUGCCUGACGGAGGGGGAUAACUACUGGAAACGGUAGCUAAUACCGCAUAAUGUCGCAAGACCAAAGAGGGGGACCUUCGGGCCUCUUGCCAUCGGAUGUGCCCAGAUGGGAUUAGCUUGUUGGUGGGGUAACGGCUCACCAAGGCGACGAUCCCUAGCUGGUCUGAGAGGAUGACCAGCCACACUGGGACUGAGACACGGUCCAGACUCCUACGGGAGGCAGCAGUGGGGAAUAUUGCACAAUGGGCGCAAGCCUGAUGCAGCCAUGCCGCGUGUAUGAAGAAGGCCUUCGGGUUGUAAAGUACUUUCAGCGGGGAGGAAGGGAGUAAAGUUAAUACCUUUGCUCAUUGACGUUACCCGCAGAAGAAGCACCGGCUAACUCCGUG